CGGCGUGCCUAAUACAUGCAAGUCGAACGGUCUUUCUAUGGAAGCUUGCUUCCACUGAGAAGAUAGUGGCGAACGGGUGGAGUAACACGUGGGUAACCUGCCCAUAAGAGGGGGAUAACAUCCGGAAACGGGUGCUAAUACCGCAUAGUUUUCUUGAUCGCAUGAUUGAGAAAGGAAAGACGGCCUUUGUGCUGUCGCUUAUGGAUGGACCCGCGGCGUAUUAGUUAGUUGGUGAGGUAACGGCUCACCAAGACGAUGAUACGUAGCCGACCUGAGAGGGUGAUCGGCCACAUUGGGACUGAGACACGGCCCAAACUCCUACGGGAGGCAGCAGUAGGGAAUCUUCCGCAAUGGACGAAAGUCUGACGGAGCAACGCCGCGUGAGUGAAGAAAAGGUUUUCGGAUCGUAAAACUCUGUUGUCAGAGAAGAACAAGUUGGAGAGUAACUGCUCCAGCCUUGACGGUAUCUGACCAGAAAGCCACGGCUAACUACGUGCCAGCCGCAGC
rnacentral:rRNA from 1 species